UGGACAAUGAUCCAUUACAGUUUCCAUGGCAUGCUUUGUAAGCUUAAACUUGGAAAUCUCUAUAUUUGAGUUAUUGGAUUUGCAGUUCAUACCAUUGUUAUAUGGUGUGUUUUUUUCUCUUUAUAUUAAUGAAAAAGUUUCUAUGAAUUGAAUUGCCUCCUACACGUUCUCUAAAAGCUGGAUGUUUACUUAGCUUGUUUAGUUGGAAUUCUCUUGCACCUGUUAAUAGUGUUGACUUGUUUUUGGACAUUGUUAGCUCCUUAGUUCUAGCAUAGGCAUACAUGUACUGGUGCUAAAAAUUGACUGAGUUGGACAUUAUGACCAUUUUAUGCAAUUGCAUCUGGAAUUAUUUUUCUUCCAUAAGCAGCAACAUGAACUUUGGCUCGCCUUCAAGCAUUCCUCCCCAAAAGCUCUUCGUACAGAGGAUUGGGUGGAGUUUGUAGAGAAUCAUAUUUUGUAGAUUCUUUAUCUUUUGGUAUAUCCCUUGUAUACGGUCGUUCUUUGGCCAUGUUUCUGAAUGAAAAUACUUUUACUUGAUCAAUUUUUUUUUUUUU